AGCCCCGAGGUGUUUUACAUAUCAGAUUGCAAAUCUGAAGUGGCGGACUAGCGUCCUCCGGGGCUU
rnacentral:tRNA from 1 species